GGGCCCGCACAAGCGGUGGAGUAUGUGGUUUAAUUCGAUGCAACGCGAAGAACCUUACCAGGGUUUGACAUCCUGCGAAUUUCUGGGAAACCGGAAAGUGCCUUCGGGAGCGCAGUGACAGGUGGUGCAUGGCUGUCGUCAGCUCGUGUCGUGAGAUGUUGGUUAAGUCCCGCAACGAGCGCAACCCACGUCUUUAGUUGCCAGCAUUUAGUUGGGCACUCUAGAGAGACUGCCGGUGAUAAACCGGAGGAAGGUGUGGAUGACGUCAAGUCAUCAUGCCCCUUACAUCCUGGGCUACACACGUACUACAAUGCUACGGACAAAGGGCAGCAAGUUCGCGAGGAC
rnacentral:rRNA from 1 species